rnacentral:rRNA from 1 species
UACGAAGGGGGCUAGCGUUGCUCGGAAUCACUGGGCGUAAAGCGCACGUAGGCGGACUCUUAAGUCGGUGGUGAAAUCCUGGAGCUCAACUCCAGAACUGCCUUCGAUACUGAGAGUCUCGAGUCCGGGAGAGGUGAGUGGAACUGCGAGUGUAGAGGUGAAAUUCGUAGAUAUUCGCAAGAACACCAGUGGCGAAGGCGGCUCACUGGCCCGUAACUGACGCUGAGGUGCGAAAGCGUGGGGAGCAAACAUG